rnacentral:rRNA from 1 species
ACGGGGGGAGCAAGCGUUGUUCGGAUUUACUGGGCGUAAAGGGCGCGUAGGCGGUAGCACAAGUCAGUUGUGAAAUCUCCGGGCUUAACCCGGAAAGGUCAACUGAUACUGUGCGACUAGAGUGCAGAAGGGGCAACUGGAAUUCCUGGUGUAGCGGUGAAAUGCGCAGAUAUCAGGAGGAACACAGGUGGCGAAGGCGGCUCUCUGGGCCUGUCCUGACGCUCAGGCGCGAAAGCUAGGGGAGCAAACAGGA